UACGUAGGUGGCAAGCGUUGUCCGGAUUUAUUGGGUUUAAAGGGUGCGUAGGCGGUUCUAUAAGUCAGUGGUGAAAUCCGGCAGCUCAACUGUCGAUGUGCCAUUGAUACUGCAGAACUUGAGUACAGACGAGGUAGGCGGAAUUGACGGUGUAGCGGUGAAAUGCUUAGAUAUCGUCAAGAACACCGAUAGCGAAGGCAGCUUACUAGACUGUAACUGACGCUGAUGCACGAAAAGUGUGGGGAUCGAAACAAGGAGUUA
rnacentral:rRNA from 1 species